GCAAAACUCACCAAAAUAAAAGCUGCACUGACAGUGGAGAAGAAAAAACAACUGUACUACGGGGAUCUGCAACACCAGAUUAUUAUUGGUCAAUCACUGCUCUCUCUCCUAAACUAAGAUGGAAUGGAUUUCUUUAAUAUUCAAGACUGUGAGCUAAGAUCAUCAGUGAAGACUCAGGAGUUCAAGCUUCCUGGAGUGGGUGAGUUUCCUCAUUUUCUCUCUCUGUUUCCUUUUCUAACUCAGAUUCUUCAGAUUUCCAGACAACGAUUUUCUCCAAAAAAGUUGCACCAAGCAAAAAAUUACCUCAAUACACAUAAUGGCAAGGAAAUCUUUUGAAGAAAAAAUUGCAAAUGUUUUGGCAUACAUAAGGAGUAGCACAUAUCCUGAAGGAAUGAAUAAAGCAGGCAGACUGAACCUGCAUCGAUAUGCUGUCAACUUUUCAUUGGAAGAGGGGAGAUUGUUCCAUUCAGCAAAAGGAAGAAAGGUUGUCAUUGUGCAUACCAUGAAAGAAGCCCUGCAACUCUUUAAAAGGUAUCAUGACAGUCCAGAGGGUGGGCAUCUAGGAAUAUUUAAAACCAGGAAUGC